rnacentral:rRNA from 1 species
AGUGAACGCUGGCGGUAGGCCUAACACAUGCAAGUCGAACGGAAGCACAGUAAGAGCUUGCUCUUACCGGUGGCGAGUGGCGGACGGGUGAGGCAUACAUCGGAAUCUACUUUUUCGUGGGGGAUAACGUAGGGAAACUUCUGCUAAUACCGCAUACGACCUACGGGUGAAAGCUGGGGAUCUUCGUACCUUUCGCGACUGAAUGAGCCGAUGUCGGAUUAGCUAGUUGGCGGGGUAAAGGCCCACCAAGGCGACGAUCCGUAGCUGAUCUGAGAGGAUGAUCGGCCACACUGGAACUGAGACACGGUCCAGACUCCUACGGGAGGCAGCAGUGGGGAAUAUUGGACAAUGGGCGCAAGCCUGAUCCAGCCAUACCGCGUGAGUGAAGAAGGUCUUCGGGUUGUAAAGCCCUGUUGUUGGGAAAGAAAAGCAGCAGGUUAAUACCCCGCUGUUCUGACGGUACCCAAAGAGUAAGCACCGGCUAACUUCGUG